UACGUAGGGCGCAAGCGUUAUCCGGAAUUAUUGGGCGUAAAGAGCUCGUAGGCGGUUUGUCGCGUCUGCCGUGAAAGUCCGGGGCUCAACUCCGGAUCUGCGGUGGGUACGGGCAGACUAGAGUGCGGUAGGGGUGACUGGAAUUCCUGGUGUAGCGGUGGAAUGCACAGAUAUCAGGAGGAACACCGAUGGCGAAGGCAGGUCACUGGGCCGCAACUGACGCUGAGGAGCGAAAGCAUGGGGAGCGAACAGG
rnacentral:rRNA from 1 species